CAAUAGCGUAUAUUAAAGUUGUUGCAGUUAAAAAGCUCGUAGUUGGACUUCUGCGGGUGGCGGCCGGUCGUGCUCGAAACGGGCGUGAACUUGGCGUGCUGCCCGCAUCUUUGGGGAGAUUGUGCGUGGCAUUAAGUUGUCGUGCAUGGGAUUCUCAUCAUUUACUGUGAAAAAAUUAGAGUGUUUAAAGCAGGCCUUUGCCUUGAAUACAUUAGCAUGGAAUAAUAAGAUAGGGCCGUUGUCUAUUUUGUUGGUUUACAGAUGUCGGUAAUGAUUAAUAGGGAUAGUUGGGGGUAUUCGUAUUCAGUUGUCAGAGGUGAAAUUCUUGGAUUUUCGGAAGACGCACGACUGCGAAAGCAUUUACCAAGGAUGUUUUCAUUAA
rnacentral:rRNA from 1 species